rnacentral:sRNA from 2 species
ACAGAGAAUGGAUGAUAUAUGAAGAACAGACUUUGAAAUAUCUAUUACAUUGGCCUCUUUAUUCCUGGGGGCGUGUUUCUUUUUUCUAUUUCCUUUACCUGCCAAACAAAACAUUAAAAAAAAUACGGUAUAGAAUAGUUUGUCUCUGGCUUCUAUUACGGUGCGAGCUGAAGCUGUGUUGAAGAAUUGUACCUCAACCCAGCUCCAUCUUAGUAAAAUAAAUAUCCUAAAUUCUAUUCCAUCUCGAUAUCCGAGAAACCUACGAUCUCGGGUAUAAUGGAAAAUUUUUUCAACAACCGCAAUAAAAUCAAGGAGGAGGGUCCGCGGAGGGUUCACCACAAAAGGAAGUAAAAGACAAAAUCGGCAGUUCCAUCGCCAACAGAAUAAGUCAUCACGGCAUAAAAUAUAGGAACAGCAUUCAUCAGAACUUGGAGGAUCAUGCCGCCGGUUCCUAAGGCCAUCCAUGAUCCGUCCAAAUAAGACAUUGUGACCAUCAACGCCACUCCUCCAAGUGCUUCCGCGCAUCUGGGUCGUAAUGAUCGAGGGCAGUUUUCAUGAGCUGUGCAUUCGUCAGCCUUGCAGCGUCAACCACAGCGCCAUCU